CCGUAUUUCGCUUGAGAACAGUUGAAAGACUGCACUUUCAUCAGCCCUUCUAUUCAAUUUUGGAUAACGGCAAAGCAAAUCGUGAUUGGCGUACCAAUUCUUGUUAUAGUCCAAGCUAUGCGAAUAAUAUAUAGUCGAAAGAACAUUGCGCAAAUUGCCUCGACUUGUCAUAUUGCCAUUGCUUCGCGGUACUAUUCAAAUUCUCGCGCGUUUGCCUAUAAAUCUCAAAUGAUGGCGUUGACAGAUGUGGUCAACUAUUAGGAUUUAUUUAACUUUUACUAAUAUAAAACUGAACUUAUCAAUAUUUAAACCAUUCAUAAAACUGAUCAUCAAAUUACACUUCCACCUUGUCCUAUAGUGAGUUAAUUUAAUUUAUACAUGUCAACCCUCAAACGCCUUGCCACAUUAUGCCAUGGUAACGAACAUAUUUUGACUUAAUUUUUUCACACAUCGUGCGGGUCCUCAUG